AAGUCGUAACAAGGUUUCCGUAGGUGAACCUGCGGAAGGAUCAUUAAUUAAAAUUGGUGUUGGGGUUAGACUUAAGGUGUUAAGUGAGGGGGGAUCCUUAACGGGGUUUUCUUAAGCUUGCUCUCUUUAGUUUGCCUUUAACUCAUCAACUUGUGAACUUGCCUUUUGGUUUGUUUAAACAAUGUGCGUUAAAAAAGUAAGAAGGUUAACAAAUAAAUUGGGUCUUGAGGGCUUAAGGCGCUGUGGGAACUUUGUUAACUGAAUCACUUUUUAACAAACAAAUGUAGUUAUAGUCUCUUAAGAAAUAUAUAAUUAUAGACAACUUUCAGCAAUGGAUCUCUUGGCUCUU
rnacentral:misc_RNA from 1 species